rnacentral:lncRNA from 1 species
UGGGACUUCUCGGUUGACAGAUGUGGAGACGCAGAGUCAAGGAACAAGGUACCCCAGAACCCCUGGGGAAUUCGACACAACCAGAGCCAGCCCCUGGCUGCCAUCAUGCCCAGUCGAAGGCUGUGUCACCCCAGAGGGCUUCCUCUCCCGAUGAAUUAAAGCUGGUUUGAAGGUUGAACGCAAAUCAAAAUCCAGCAUGCUUUCAAACACUACAGCGGACACUUAUUUGUAUUUCCUGAAGCCACCCCAGUGAGCCUCUCUGAAAUAAAUUAAAAAGAAUGGUCAAAGCUGAAUGCACACCGAGGUUUCCAUGUGCUCAGCUCAGCAGAUUCAGGUGGCAUGUUUGUGCCCCCAUCGACUUGCCUGGCCUGUUUCAGACUCAGGACUGGCACAGCAUUGGAAAGUUUAUGGUUUCACAAACCCUGAGGCAUAAUUUGCAAAUAAAUGAUGAAGACACUAAAAAUACUGCAUGCAAAUACCAUGGUCUUGAACAAAGACAGGACUUUGGAAUGGUAAGAGGAGUGGAAAAGCACUGAUGGAACGAACACCUGCUCUUGAGUUUGAAAGCAGCUGGGUAAGUGACUGGCAGACUCGGGAGACCCACUGGUGCCGGGAACACGGCAUGGCACUUUCCCCUGGUGUUGCAUCCUAGGCAGGUCAGGUGGUAGGUGGGCAAAUCAUUACAAACGAAACGUCUAGUGAGAAAAUAAUUUUCAUUGUCUUUCAGUCUUCCUGAAGCCUUUGAGGAGUCUGUUGCUAGGCUAG